CAUUUUUCCGAACAAUUUUCCGAUAGCCACAUCAACACUAAAAAGCAGGAGCUCCGUAAAGGGAUAUCUUCAAAUCAUCGAUGUUGAUGAUUUUUUUAUCAUAGCACUGCUAAAAUUAAUUAAAAUGACUUUUCCGAUCUGUGAGAACAAACCCACCAACCAUCAAGUUGAUGAACCUUACUGUUAUUAAUGGAGAAAAAAUCAUAACAAAGUGCAAACAUCAAUUGAAUUUUUUGAUGUCAACAUUAUUAAAUCAAAAUUAACAUUUGUUUCUCCCCGCACCUUCAUCCUAGAUAGCUUCUUCAAUUUUUUUUAAAAAUCGAAAUGGAACUUAGAUCUCUUUCUUCGUUGUCUUCUUCACUUUUGUGUUCGUUGUUGGGGAAGUUAAAGAGGUCAAGGCGAUUCGAGAAUGAGUUAUGAAAGGCAAUGAUUAAAGAGAAUUUGGUAAAAGAAAAGAGAAUGGAAUGGAAAAGGAAAGAAAAAACAUAAUAAAUAAAAAAAUGGUCUAUUACAGUUGUUGGACCAAAAUGGCUUUUGAGAUUGAAGAAAG
rnacentral:lncRNA from 1 species